rnacentral:rRNA from 1 species
GUGGGGAAUAUUGCACAAUGGAGGAAACUCUGAUGCAGCGAUGCCGCGUGAAGGAAGAAGGUCUUCGGAUUGUAAACUUCUGUCUUCGGGGACGAUAAUGACGGUACCCGAGGAGGAAGCACCGGCUAACUACGUGCCAGCAGCCGCGGUAAUACGUAGGGUGCGAGCGUUGUCCGGAAUUACUGGGUGUAAAGGGAGCGUAGGCGGGACUGCAAGUCAGAUGUGAAAACUAUAGGCUUAACCUAUAGACUGCAUUUGAAACUGUGGUUCUUGAGUGAAGUAGAGGAUGGCGGAAUUCCUAGUGUAGCGGUGAAAUGCGUAGAUAUUAGGAGGAACACCAGUGGCGAAGGCGGCCAUCUGGGCUUUUACUGACGCUGAGGCUCGAAAGCGUGGGGAGCAAACAGGAUUAGAAACCCUAGUAGUCC